GAAUUAUUAAUAGCUGUCAGUGCGGAUGGUUGCUGCUUGGGAUUGUUGCUUGAAAUAACCUAUUCUGGCUAAUAAUUGUCACAAGAGUUGAUAAUGGCAGACCUGGAAUUGUACAUAGACAGUAAGGAAAGUGAGCAACCACCUUUAAUCUGUGCUGGUCCAAGUAGAAGACUGGGAGCUGAAUGAAAUGGCAAGUGGUGCCCUGAACUGGCAGGAAUGUUUCCAGUAUGCCCACAGGCAGCGGAUUCUGCUCAGCAACAUGAAGCCUGCUGGGAAAUAAGACGUGAUUUGCUUCCAGAAGAACAUUACAAUAACAAAAUAGUGAAAUUCUAAUU